UUAAUAAAUUAAAUUUAAUUAAAAAUAAAUAUCUAAAUUUUAAGUAUAUCAUUUACAAUGAUAAGAUGUUUUUAACUUUAUUUAAAUU
rnacentral:tRNA from 1 species